rnacentral:rRNA from 1 species
GACGAACGCUGGCGGCGUGCCUAAUACAUGCAAGUAGAACGCUGAAGGAGGAGCUUGCUUCUCUGGAUGAGUUGCGAACGGGUGAGUAACGCGUAGGUAACCUGCCUGGUAGCGGGGGAUAACUAUUGGAAACGAUAGCUAAUACCGCAUAAUAGUAGAUGUUGCAUGACAUUUGCCUAAAAGGUGCAAUUGCAUCACUACCAGAUGGACCUGCGUUGUAUUAGCUAGUUGGUGGGGUAACGGCUCACCAAGGCGACGAUACAUAGCCGACCUGAGAGGGUGAUCGGCCACACUGGGACUGAGACACGGCCCAGACUCCUACGGGAGGCAGCAGUAGGGAAUCUUCGGCAAUGGACGGAAGUCUGACCGAGCAACGCCGCGUGAGUGAAGAAGGUUUUCGGAUCGUAAAGCUCUGCUGUAAGAGAAGAACGAGUGUGAGAGUGGAAAGUUCACACUGUGACGGUAUCUUACCAGAAAGAGACGGCUAACUACGUG